CUCCCCCGGGAUCAUUUCUAUGGUUUGCUACUAGGGAAGUUUUUGUGAAUUUGCAAAGCACCAGAAAUAGAGAACUGCUGUUCAAUAGGAAUAAAAUUAUGGUUAUAUAAGAGGGACUCUUGCCACAUUACAAUAAAUAAACUUAAAGAUUUUUAAAUAGUAUAAAAUAAAAUGUAGAAAAUAGGCCAAAAUACUAAUUGUGAAUGUCUCCAGAUAGUAGAACUAGGAUUACUUUUUUCUUCUUCCUAUUUAUAUGUGUUUUUUGGAUUUUAUUAAAUACAUAUUGCUUUCUUAGUUAAAAAAAAAAAAUUUAAGGUACAUAAACCCAUUCAUUUCUUUUAUCACCAAUUUCAGACUAAGGAAAUUUUAUCCAGUCUAUGUGUCUAAGAGAGAAGUAGUCAUUCUGAGCAACUGUUUCUUAAAAUAUGACCCUCAGCCACCAGCUUUUAGUUCAUGGAUAGAUCGGUAUUCUCUUCGAUCCUAGCCUGAAAAGCAGAGAACCUGCGUAUGGAGAGUCCUAGAGCCCUGUUAAAUAGAAUCACAGGACAUCUCUCUGGAGGAGAUGGCUCUGCAUCACCAGCACUCUCCUCCCCAAUUUGUUGACUGCUUUGCAUUUGUAGACGCCGGUGCAGAGACUGGGGAUCAAGACCUCACAGGUUCAGGAGGCUCAUGAGGCUGGAGAAGGCUCUGGUUUAACCACUGAGAAGAGAAGCAUAAAAAGAAGUCCUCAUUUCCUAAAAGUUCAGGCAUGACCAUACAGGUUUAAUUAGGAACAGCCAGCUGUUUACAGCAAAUUAUAAACUGUGUAAAGCAGACCUCAGUGGACACGCCCAAGGAUGUUCCAUGAACCCUUCCUUCCCCAAGUCCGGAUUCAGCAGAUCUGGCUUGGCGAGGUAGGGUGCUGCAAUGCCAGUCAGAGGAGUAGCCCAGAAGUCCUCUUCCAGAACUUUCUAUGACCAAAGGAGAUGGCCAAAUCGCUUAUGGAAAACGUCUUUUUCUUUCCUUUUGUCUUUAAAACUUGAAGUCAAUCCACUGUUCUCUUGACUGCCUCUGCACCCACCCGGUAGACAGACACUUCAGAACAGGCUAAACAAUACGAUGCGGUGGGAAGAACAUCAACUUUGGAGUAAAAAUUCUGGCUGAACUUCCUAAUUUUUGACCUUGUGUGGACUUUGUCAACCUCUCUAAAUCCCAAUCUCUUCAUCUAUAAAAUGGGGAUAAAUAAAUAAAUAAAAUCUAGUGAGACAAAUGUGAAAGUUAAAUGAGAAUAUAUGGGAAACAGUUGGCAUAGAGUCGAUGCUCAAUUAAUUCUCGUUACCUUUCCUUUUCCUUCUAGAAAGUGAUUGGUCCAUCAGUGUUUAUGUUGAGGGGGAAAGAAAACAAACUAUAAAACUCCUAAUGAGCCUUACUUCAAGUACAGCCCAGUGCCAUUCAGUAAUUAGUAUGGCCUCCUGAACCUACCGUCACCGAAAAGUCGCAAGUAUGGAAGGAGACUCUGUAGGGGUCUCCGUGGCGAUGACCACAGCAGAACAGAAUUGUCCUCACUAUUGGCCUUCUGUCUUGGACCGCAGGCACACCCUGGAUGCCUUGCACCCAUUCUGCAAAUGCAAGGAGCCUCUGUCAUUCAAAGCGCUUCAUCAGAAAUAAAAGAUAAGACCUUUGUCCACGGGUU